rnacentral:rRNA from 1 species
ACUUACCAGGUCAAGACAUGGGCGUGAUUGACAGGCUAAUGACUUUUCUCGAUUCCAUGGAUGGUGGUGCAUGGUCGCACUUAGUUGGUGCAGUGAUUUGUCAGGUUUAUUCCGGUAACGAACGAGACCUCGGCCUUGUAAAUAGCUAUGCUGCUUACAGGGACAUUGGCGGCUACGCCAAGGAAGCUCGAGGCAAUUGCAGAUCUGGAAUGCCCUUAGAUGUCCUGGGUCGCACGCGUGCUACAAUGACGCCACGAACGAGCUUGCGUGAUGAAAGUUACGCAUAAUCAGCAGUCGGCGUCUUAAGGGAUAGUCUCUUGUAACUGUGGGACUCCAACUAGGAAUGUCUCGUAAGCACAAGUCAACAUCUUGUGUUGAUUACGUCCCUGCUCUUUGUACACACCGCCCGUCGCUCCUACCGAUCGAGUGUUUAGGUGAAUUUGAUGGACGUAAGGAAGUCAAAUAAACCUGAGCACUAGAGAAGAGAAGUCGAGAUGCCC